UACUACAUCUAGACCAAGACUAAAAACUGGACAGACAGCAGACGGGACUGUAUCAACAGAGCCUUGAGGCCUCAAUUAUCAAUACUGCUACUACUUCACCCAUCAGAGUCUAAGGCCUGUUUUAUCCAUAGUUUUCCACCAUUUCAGUUCCCUUCACCGUAGAAACGGGCAACAGAACCUGAGGAACCUUAACCGUCCGAGCCACCAACGAUCGCAGAUUCACUUCUUCCUUCCCUGCCAGCAUCUCCAUGGUGACUGGGGGCGGUGGGGCCAACAGUACGGUGAGCCUUGUGGCGCCCACCAGCACCUCGUCAGGAACGGAUGUAACCCUGUCCGGUGGCAGCAAAGUGACAGAUUUUACCUCUCCCAGUGCGGACUACCAGGCGUCUCCUCCAAGGUACCAGCGUUCCGGUCUAGAAGCCCAGUUUCUAUUGCACCUACAGUUUUGUUUUGGUACUGCAGUUUAACGGAGGCUCAGCCCAGAAAGACAAUUUUCCAUACACGGCCACAUUGAGAAUCCAAAUGAUAAAAUUCCAAAUAAGACGCUUUAGUCAUCACAUUUGUGCACAAAACAUCCAUUGAAUUAUUCAAAUAUAUGUUGCUGAGACCAAUGUUUUAAAAACAUUUAAUCUUCAUCCAAUGUCUGGCAUGUUUUUGGAUGACUUAAUGACGUUGUUGCUGCUAACACUUUUCCCUGUGCACUGAGUGCUAGUGAACAUGUGAUAUUGGGCAGUGUAAACUUCUUUGCCAUCUCUAUCUUUUACUAAGGAUCUCUGCUCUAACGUGACACUUCCUACGUCGUCCAUAGGCGCUCAGAGCCCGGGAAAAACCUGAAUGUCGUCAUCCCAGCCCCAGGCUGAAACACAUUAUCGCCUUUCUCAAGUGGCCGAUCAAGGGACUCUGGGCUUAGGCGCGUGACCUGGCCGCCCCCGUCUUUGUGAUUUUUUCCUCUGUUUGCCGAAAAGGAGAUUCCCGGUCUGAAUAUUAUCGCUUUUCUACGAGAAAAAUGGCAUAAAAAUUGAUUUUUUGAUCAGGGAUAAACUUGGUCGGUGUCUAAAUGGCUAGCCGUGAUGGCUGGGCUAUCUACUGAGAACAUUGCAAAAUGUGCUUUCACCGAAAAGCUAUUUUAAAAUCGGACAUAUCGAGUGCAUAGAGGAGUUCUGUAUCUAUAAUUCUUAAAAUAAUUAUGUUUUUUGUGAACGUUUAUCGUGAGUAAUUUAGUAAAUUCACCGGAUGUUUGCGGGGGGUAUGCUAGUUCUGAACGUCACAUGCUAAUGUAAAAAGCUGGUUUUUGAUAUAAAUAUGAACUUGUUUGAACAAAACAUGCAUGCAUUGUAUAACAUAAUGUCCUAGGGUUGUCAUCUGAUGAAGAUCAUCAAAGGUUAGUGCUGCAUUUAGCUGUGGUUUUGUUUUUUGUGACAUUAUAUGCUAGCUUGAAAAAUGGGUGUCUGAUUAUUUCUGGCUUGGUACUCUGCUGACAUAAUCUAAUGUUUUGCUUUCGCUGUAAAGCCUUUUUGAAAUCGGACAGUGUGGUUAGAUAAAGGAGAGUCUUGUCUUUAAAAUGCUGUGAAAUAGUCAUAUGUUUGAAAAAUUGAAGUUUUUGUAUUUUUGAGGAAUUUGUAAUUCGCGCCACGCCUAUCAUUGGAUAUUGGAGCAGGUGUUCCGCUAGCGGAACGUCUAGAUGUAAGAGGUUAAAACUGAAACUAUGGAGAUGUUGUCAGAACUUCUGCUUUUUCAUUCUGAGUAACUAUUCACAGUCAGCAUAGAUUGAACAAAGACCCCUAUAUCAUCGGUGGCUCGUCACACAACGGGGGGAAGUUUCCCCUUGGUACAGAUCUAUGAUCAGGUUUCUUUCCCCCAAUCCUAACUUUAAUCAUUUGUGGAAGAAAUAUAAAACUGACAUAAGAUCAGCAUCUAGGGGCAUCUUCCCCCUACACCACCAGUCACAGAGUGAGAUCCAUAAUGUGCUCUCCAUUUUAAGGCUGGGGGUGCUGUAAACUCAGUCAGGCUAUAUGUCAAUUAACAUGAUACCAAUUUAUUUUAGAACAUGAAAAAUUGGGACCCUGUGAAUUCACACAUACAUCAUAUAGCAUGAUAUAGAGUCAUAUCAGGUAUUAUAUUAUCAAACUAAGGCUGGUGUGAGUCACAUGGUGGCCAGAAUUGUGUUGAUUUCACAAUCUCCCGUUCACUGUGGUUGACUGACAAGGAGUUUCACUACUUAAAAUCAUACAGACGCAGGACAGUGCAGGGAGAAGACACAGCUACAGACGUAUAUUAGAGUUUAGGUUAGAAAUAGAAGUUACUGUAU
rnacentral:lncRNA from 8 species